rnacentral:rRNA from 1 species
GUAGGUGGCAAGCGUUGUCCGGAAUUAUUGGGCGUAAAGCGUGCGCAGGCGGUUCUUUAAGUCUGAUGUGAAAGCCCACGGCUCAACCGUGGAGGGUCAUUGGAAACUGGAGAACUUGAGUACAGAAGAGGAAAGCGGAAUUCCACGUGUAGCGGUGAAAUGCGUAGAGAUGUGGAGGAACACCAGUGGCGAAGGCGGCUUUCUGGUCUGUAACUGACGCUGAGGCGCGAAAGCGUGGGGAGCAAACAGGGAUUAGAUACCCUGGUAGUCCACGCCGUAAACGAUGAGUGCUAAGUGUUAGGGGGGUUUCCGCCCCCUUAGUGCUGCAGCUAACGCAUUAAGCACUCCGCCUGGGGAGUACGGCCGCAAGGCUG